AUGAUCUGGGAGGUCUUUGCCAACCUGAAUGGUUCUGUGAUUCUGCGUAACAAUACAGCCAAGGAGCUGCCUGCUGUGGGGACACCUCUCCAUGGAGGGACCGAGGGACCAGCCGGGGGGGCUGCGGCCACAGGGAGCCCCCCCCGGUUACCUCAGACCGCGCUGAGGCGAGGCCCCGGCGCCUCCCAGGGGGGAGCCUCCCCUCAGCGCUCCCUCUCCUGCCCGCCCGGCUCAGCAACAGGUCUGUGCCGGGGGCGGAGAAGGGGGCUGUGUGUGUGUGUGUGUUUUGGGGGGGGGGACCCCGCUUCUCCCCGCGGCGUGCCAGGCCCCCAGGCGGCGUGCCAGGCGAACAAAGGGGCCGAGCGCGGAGCGGGCUCCCGCGUUCAGCCAUUUGCAGCGCCCCGCCGCUCCCCACCCCCUUCCUCCCCCUUCCCCGCCGGCGCAGGCUCCGGCUCGCCUCGGAGCCGCCACCACCGCCAGCACCACACCACCACCGCCAGCACCACGCCGGGCCCGAGGUGGGGCCGGGCCGGCUGCGGGCUGUGGGCUGCGGGGCGGGGCGGGAGGCGGGCGGGCAGCCCUGCGGGAGCCCUGCCGGGAGCGCCGCGCUGCUCAACGCGCGUCUCCGCGCUGCCGCAAGAUGUCUUCUCCGGUAAGGAAGAGAGCAUUUUUAUCCUGAAUUUCGCAGAGCUGCUCACUGAACAGGAGUGCAACAGACCGUUUUUGUAUGUAAGCAAGCCUCUUCACACUUGACUCAGACCUCCAGAAGAUUUUGCCUUCUCCCAGACUGAGAUGGGUAUCUUCAGUCUGCAUGAUAGUACUGGCCAGCUCUACUUUUAACAGCCUUUACCUUUUUUUGUUUGUUUGUUUAAUAAAUACAAGGGAUGUUUCUCUCUUUUGAUGAUC
rnacentral:lncRNA from 1 species